CCUAGCUCUGCAACAGGCGGGCUCAGGGUUCCGUCCCCAGCUCCGUCGCAGCGUGUUGGAGUGCCGCGUCGAAUCCGGCCGCCCCGGACCCCUCCCACGCGCCCUAGCGACAAAAACAAUAGUGAACAACAACAAAAAAGAUUAAAAAAAAAUAAUAAUCUGAUCUGAUCUGAUCUGAGCCGCCUCUCCGGGACCGAGAGCUUCCGCGGGAUCCGCGCGUCAUGUCGCCGCAGGUAAGGGGACGCGCGUCGCCUGUUGCUCUGGGCGCCGCCUCUUUUCUCACGAGGUCCUUUUUCGUCUCGACGCGCCACUCACACACUCACUCACACACACACACACACACACACACACACACACACACACACACACACACACACACACACACACAUAUACACUCGCUCGCCCGGCCGGGCGCCUUGCGACCUCGUCUCUGCGUUUCACCGAAAGGCGACGCGGAUCGCGGACAAGACUGUGGGCGGGCGGCCGGGGCUCCAGGGUCGGGGUGCGGGUUCGCCCCUCGUCUGCGUCCGCCGCGGAGCGAGCAACUUCACCCCGGUUACCAUAGGAACAAACCCAGGAGAAAUUUGACUUUUCACUUUGGACCCAAGAGCCUUUGCUGGAUUGUUAAAGAGCCCGAGGUUACGAGAAUCGGCCCUAAACGAUGAUAAUGGCAGGGUACUGCAUUUCUUUUCUUUUUCACGCAACAGAAAUGCAGUUUACAAUCGCUUUUACUCGCCCUCUCUCCAGUGCCCCAGUCUGCAAUUAUGCAGAAUUCAUAUGCACACAUUUGAGGCUCGAUUUGCAGCCUUCAUGAAAUGCCUCUGUGUUUAGACAGUUUAAUAGAAGCAGAGAUUGUGCAGCGAUGGUGCAUGUUACAGCAGGGUGCACAGGUAUUGUGGGCGCUGUGUCAACGGUGGUCCGACUGAACCGGGUCACAGUUCGUCGCCUGUGCAUGUCAAAGUUCACGUCACUGACUUGGGUUACAAUAACCAUGAUCAUCUGCAUCCUUACAUGAGCAUGGGCGCGGCCCCUCCCAAUGAAUCUGACACAGUGAAUGAAUAACAUUAAUCGGGAUUCCUAAUCCACAAUUCCACUACAUUCCACUAUAUGGGAAUAUAGUGGGAAUGGGAAUUUCCACUAUGUUGGAAAUAUACUUUGAAAGCAAUGCGAAAUAUGUGAAUAGAAUGCCUAUUGUGUACAUUUACCUUCUAGGCUUACACAUUUCAAAUGGUUGUGUAUAUUUGAAAUAUCAAAACUCAUGCUCCAAGGCAGAAGUAUUGGUUAUUAGGGCUGUUAAACAAUAUUGCAAUAUUUUACGUAGUGAUAUUGUAUCUAUACAGUGACAGCUAAUAUCGAUAUAUCAAUUUUUGUAUACAAAUUUAGUCCAUCGGGUGAUGCUGUAGAGCGAUUUCUUUAGAUGAGCGUGCGCCUACCACCUCCACUCCUGUAGAUGGCGCUGUAAAGCUGGGUACAUUGAAUUACUGCUUGGCAUUUCAGGCAGAGUGAAAUCGCAAAACAUGACAGGCCAAUCACAGCAUUCAGCUCGUUUUUUACAUGUUCAGUGAAAUGUACAAUAUUGCAAUAUGUACAGCAUCACAAUAUAUUGUGAUAUAAACGUAUCGUGAC
rnacentral:lncRNA from 1 species